rnacentral:rRNA from 16 species
GAGAUGGAGGCCAACGCGGGGAACUGAAACAUCUUAGUACCCGCAGGAAAAGAAAACAAGAGUGAUUCCCCGAGUAGCGGCGAGCGAAAGGGGAACAGCCCAAACCGUCGGCGUUUCGGCGCCGUCGGGGUUGUAGGACCUCCAUGGUCCGUAUGUGGAAGGCGAGCGGAACGGCCUGGAACGGCCGGCCGUAGCGGGUGACAGCCCCUUACGCGCAGCCUUCCCCGUCGGCGGGGGAAUCCUGAGUAGCGCGGGACA